GAGUUUGAUCGUGGCUCAGAGUGAACGCUGGCGGUAGGCCUAACACAUGCAAGUCGAACGGCAGCACAGUAAGAGCUUGCUCUUACGGGUGGCGAGUGGCGGACGGGUGAGGAAUACAUCGGAAUCUACUUUUUCGUGGGGGAUAACGUAGGGAAACUUACGCUAAUACCGCAUACGACCUACGGUGAAAGCAGGGGAUCUUCGGACCUUGCGCGAUUGAAUGAGCCGAUGUCGGAUUAGCUAGUUGGCGGGGUAAAGGCCCACCAAGGCGACGAUCCGUAGCUGGUCUGAGAGGAUGAUCAGCCACACUGGAACUGAGACACGGUCCAGACUCCUACGGGAGGCAGCAGUGGGGAAUAUUGGACAAUGGGCGGCAAGCCUGAUCCAGCCAUACCGCGUGGGUGAAGAAGG
rnacentral:rRNA from 1 species